GUAAUUUUCCUGAAAAAUAUUAGUUAUUUGUAAUGUUUCUGUUAUUUAAGGUGUCAAAUAUCAUGUGGUGCGACCGUCCGGCCAUGACUGCCGAUGGAAAACUUCUUUGAAAUUACUCUAAAUCUAUUCAAAUUUAUUUUCUACCCUAUUUGGCAUGAUUUCCAAAGUGUUUUUUAGUACUGUACAAAAUUGCAUAGCAUUUGUAUAAAUAUUUCCAUCAUAGUAUACAAACAAACUUUUUCCGAUGAUGUCCAUUUGAUGAAAUAUCAUGUGGUGCGACCAUCAAGAAACAACCAAUUUGGGACUUUUAUGCUGAAAUCCAUUCAAAGACAGGAAGUUGCAUCAUACACCAUUUUGCCAAGGACCCAUGGAAGAAAGAACAGAUGCCACUUCCAAGCAAAAUAAAAACCGCUCGCCAUAGGCAGCGUGUUAAUUCUGACCCUGCAGCAAGAGCGAAGUACCUUGCUCGGCGAAGAUAAAGCUUCCAGAGGAGAAAACAGCAGGGAAGAUUCAAUAUGCUAAGUCAAGUGAGCUGACAGAGAGAGAGAAAAAGAAACAGAGAGAGAAAUGGAGAGCUUCCUCAAGUGCGUACAGGGAAAGGAAAAAUAUGGCAAAUGCUUUGCUAGAAAUUACGCCGCCAUCAAUGGAGAACAUUCCACAAGAUCUGGUUGAUGUGAUUUUAACCUAUGAUGAGCUUCCAUAUGU